rnacentral:tRNA from 1 species
GGCAUCGGCAGGGAAUCAAACCCAGGCCGCCCGCGUGGCAGGCGAGCAUUCUACCACUGAACCACCGAUGC